UACGUAGGGUGCAAGCGUUAAUCGGAAUUACUGGGCGUAAAGCGUGCGUAGGCGGCUAUGUAAGACAGAUGUGAAAUCCCUGGGCUUAACCUAGGAACUGCAUUUGUGACUGCAUUGCUAGAGUGUGGUAGAGGGAGAUGGAAUUCCGCGUGUAGCAGUGAAAUGCGUAGAUAUGCGGAGGAACACCAAUGGCGAAGGCAAUCUCCUGGACCUGCACUGACGCUCAUGCACGAAAGCGUGGGGAUCAAACAGG
rnacentral:rRNA from 1 species